rnacentral:lncRNA from 1 species
AAAGGAGAUUUUUCAUUGAAAAUUGUUUUCUCGAAAAAAAAAAUUUCAUAUUUUUUGAGGACUCAAACAGCUACUUAGUUCUAACAAAAAAAGUAAUUUUUCUAGAAAAGUUUUUUCAAAAUUUCAUUAAAACAAAAGUGUUUUAUUUAUGUACUUUUUUAUCUAAAAAGUAAAAACUAUUCAAGUAACCAAACACUCCCUG